UGCCCAGCAGCUCCUAUCCCUACCUCCUCGCGGUACUGGCCGGGGUACGAGUAACCUUAGGGAAGA
rnacentral:ribozyme from 1 species